CAAGGUUAAGGUGAGACAUGAUGAUAAACUAAAGGUGGUGUGAACAAGAAAUAAUCUGUUCAUGGAUGUUGCUGCAACAAAUAAUCUCAAAACAACGAGUGGGAAAAUCAAGCAAAUAUUCAGAAAAUAUAAUUUGCCGUACUACCUGCAACUGCCAGACAGGGAAGAGAUCACCAAGACUACCCUGAAAAAAAGUGUGAAAGCCCUGGACACGUUUUACACCUUCCCUGGUGCUUUCUCAACAUUAAGGUGGGACAUGUCUUAAU